ACAUUUGUAGAUAUGAACAAAUAAUCAAUAUAUAAUUGUAAUAGGCAUAUUAUGGGUCCCUAUAUAUAAACUAGCUCAUAUUGCAAAUGUAAGUUCACAAAAUAUCAUGUGAUUUCAUUUGUACAAUGUAUAACAAAAUACAAGAUGAAUGAUUGUGAUCAUAAUCUAGAUUUAACACCUGUUCACAUGUAAAUGUAUAGACAUGUAUUGACUGAUAGCUUGGGGUUUGACAUCUUAACAUAUCUUUAAUGCAUAUUCAAGACAAAAUAUAUAUAUGGUGUAGUGGCAGAUUGAUUGGGUAGGGGGCAGGUCCCCUCACCAAGAUACAUAUAUUUUUUAAUGCAUAGUCUUUUUUUAAAUGUUGCUUUCUCAGCUUUGAGUAGUUUGGAACGCUCCCUUUUUUUUU
rnacentral:lncRNA from 1 species